AUCGUACAUCACCCUUGAUGCAAAAAAUGUCCGCGCCUGACGUUGUUAACACACACGACACACUCUUCCCUUGAGAAAAGAUAGUAUGAAUGUCUUCACGAGUGUCCUACUGUUUCAUUUUAGAGCCCCUCCUCUUGAUGACGACACGCACACUGUCAGCUACACUUUGCAGCGUCUCUCUCUUAAAUUUUCCCCAAUAUCUUUGUAUCUCCAUUUCAGAUGAAUUGUUCUCUUUCCAAGGGUUGAGGAGAACAUGGUCGUGGUUCAAGUGAAGCCACUACAGCCACUGCCUGACAAGUCUUCCACACUGACAGGCCCACUGGAAGCUGUCAGUCUGCUGCGGCACGUGGCAAGAACCAAGUGUUGAGGAGCACACAUUGUCCCUUCAUCAGUCAGCAGACUGCUCGCCUUCACAGGUCUGGGCGGCUCGGAAGUCUCACUACAAACUGGAGAUCCAUUCUCUUGGACACAGCUGGAGUCGGACACAAGAUUCAAGAGGGAGUCAUUUUAACGAGAGCUUCAGGCAGAAAAUUCGAGUGGAUUUUCAUUUCUAAAAAUAUCUUAUUUUUUGGGGGGGAUAUUUUGAAUCCUUCUUUGUGGAAAAAUAACUCCAGAUAUUAUGAUUCUAGCUGGAAGUUGACCUGAGCAAUGUAGGGUUUGCUGCUGUGAGAUUAUCACCAAGGCACAAGUGUCCGGGAUUUAAAGAUGAUGGAAAUGUGUCCUGUGUGCUGCUGUGCUGGGAAGAGGAGAGGAGCAGCAGCAGUGGUGGGGCUCUGCUGCUGCUGUCACUAGUGCAGCUGCCUUCCCUCAACAUACUGUGUCUUCUCUCACCUGCAAUGAACAACUAUGAACAAUACUUUUGCGAUGAAGAACAGUGAAUAACACCUCUCCCCAUAUGAUUGCAAGUCUCUCUCUCUCUCUCUCUCUCUCUCUCUCUCUCUCUCUCUCUCUCUCUCUCUCUCUCUCUCUCUCUCUCUCUCUCUCUCCAUAGUCCUACAGUAUGUCCCCCACAGUAUGUUUACAAACCCACAGUGACUCCCCACAGCCCCUCACCAACACCCUCACCAACAAUUGUCUCCACACACACACACACACACACACACACACACACACCAUUACAUACACAAAUGUUGCAAUCUUGUACACACACACACACACACACACACACACACACACACACACACACACACACACACACACACACCAUUACAUACACAAAUGUUGCAAUCUUGUACACACACACACACACACACACACACACACACACACACACACACACACACACACCAUUACAUACACAAAUGUUGCAAUCUUGUACAGUGUCUACAAUAAAGAAUGAAACCAAAAUCGACAA